rnacentral:rRNA from 1 species
GUUGAGCGAUGAAGAUUGGUGCUUGCACCAAUUUGAAGAGCAGCGCACUGGUGAGUAACGCGUGGGGAAUCUGCCUUUGAGCGGGGGACUUCAUUUGGAAACGAAUGCUAAUACCGCAUAACAACUUUGAACAUAAGUUUUAAGUUUGAAAGAUGCAAUUGCAUCACUCAAAGAUGAUCCCGCGUUGUAUUAGCUAGUUGGUGAGGUAAAGGCUCACCAAGGCGAUGAUACAUAGCCGACCUGAGAGGGUGAUCGGCCACAUUGGGACUGAGACACGGCCCAAACUCCUACGGGAGGCAGCAGUAGGGAAUCUUCGGCAAUGGACGAAAGUCUGACCGAGCAACGCCGCGUGAGUGAAGAAGGUUUUCGGAUCGUAAAACUCUGUUGGUAGAGAAGAACGUUGGUGAGAGUGGAAAGCUCAUCAAGUGACGGUAACUACCCAGAAAGGGACGGCUAACUACGUGCCAGCAGCCGCGGUAAUACGUAGGUCCCGAGCGUUGUCCGGAUUUAUUGGGCGUAAAGCGAGCGCAGGUGGUUUAUUAAGUCUGGUGUAAAAGGCAGUGGCUCAACCAUUGUAUGCAUUGGAAACUGGUAGACUUGAGUGCAGGAGAGGAGAGUGGAAUUCCAUGUGUAGCGGUGAAAUGCGUAGAUAUAUGGAGGAACACCGGUGGCGAAAGCGGCUCUC